GGGGAAUAUUGGACAAUGGGCGCAAGCCUGAUCCAGCCAUGCCGCGUGAGUGAUGAAGGCCUUAGGGUUGUAAAGCUCUUUUGUCCGGGACGAUAAUGACGGUACCGGAAGAAUAAGCCCCGGCUAACUUCGUGCCAGCAGCCGCGGUAAUACGAAGGGGGCUAGCGUUGCUCGGAAUCACUGGGCGUAAAGGGCGCGUAGGCGGCCUUGUAAGUUGGGGGUGAAAGCCCGUGGCUCAACCACGGAAUUGCCUUCGAUACUGCUUGGCUUGAGUGUGGUAGAGGUUGGUGGAACUGCGAGUGUAGAGGUGAAAUUCGUAGAUAUUCGCAAGAACACCGGUGGCGAAGGCGGCCAACUGGACCAUCACUGACGCUGAGGCGCGAAAGCGUGGGGAGCAAACAGGA
rnacentral:rRNA from 1 species